AUUUCGAGCCAAUGCCUUUUAUUUUUUUCCUGGUCCUCAAUGUGUUUGCAAGACCUGGAAUUUGUGGCUAUAGGCGUGUGUUUCCUGGUGGGUAAUGCAGCCUUAUCUGGACUGGUCGAUCAGGAGGCUGGAGGCAGCACGAGCAGCGGCCCCAGGCUCCAAGAAUCUUCAUUCUCACAGGUCACAUUGGCGAUUUCUCUAGGGUGGAAUAAUCAGCUCAGCAGGGUCUGUGCUUAAGUUCGGAGGCCUGUGACUCACGUUGAAAUCAGCACCUCCAGGUGAGGAAAGCCUGGGGUGGCUCAAAACCCAAUAGGAGCCACUAACGAAUCCAGGGGCAACCGUGACUAUUUAUGCUCCUGGCACACAAGUCACAAGAUAAAAGCUCGGGGCCUCCCCUGGCAUUGGAAUCUCUCAGAGGUUUAUUUGUUCAUUCACGCAUCAGUUUACUCAGCAAAGAGGAAUCACGGAGUUGUUUUUCGUGCCCAACCUGGAGUGGAGGGAGGGGAAGAACAGAUGGGACGUGAGGUUUGUCACCGUCACCUGGUCGGCUGGCUUCCUUGCACAUUAACAUUUUAUAUCUGGGCUCUCAGUAGCAGCGAGAAUCCAACAACAGCAUGGCACUGACCUGGUUCUGAGCGUCAAGGAGCCUCAGAGGCUUCUGCUUCUGGGUCCCACUUGGGCGUGGCCCUGUAGUGAACCCCUCAGGCCAUUUGGGGGAAGAAUGAGGAGGGACUUACACUGAAAGGGCACCUUCUGAUCUCCAGGCACUGCAUCUAUGCUGUUGAUUUGCUUCCUAACUUGUGCCUCAAGCAAUUGCAUCCCUUUUCCAGGUGAGGCAAUGGAAGCUCCAGACAGGUGAAAUACUUUACCCCAAGUCACACGGCAAGGAAGUGGUAGAGGCAGAUUUGACUUCAGAGCAGCCGCACCCCAAACUCUGCACUGUUGGCUUCCAUGCUCUUCUCCCUCCCUGAAUUUUCAGGAGGGUUCAGAGUCUGUUGGUGGAAUUUCUGGUAUGCCUCAGAUGUAGACUUGUUGCUCCUUUCAGAUUAACUGUUUCUGUCCAAAGCCAAGAAGACAGAAGUGGUGGAUGUGUCUAUAGCUGCCUCGGGCCUCUAGUGCAGGGCAAAGAUGCCCCUCAGAGGAGUCAGGUGAGGCUGAAAUCGAGCCCACAUGUCACCUACCUGUUGGUACGUGGUGUGGGAAUUCGUCAGACUGACAGGAAAGGGUUGCUUGCCAGGCUCUGCACCCCUGAAGCCCCAUCAACCCAGAGGGGUUCCUCUUAAUAAAUUGCACAAAAGCACCGCCUUGCUUUGGGUUUUCCUGGAAGCAGACUCCGAGGCAGAUAUUGCAGUGCAAAUCCUUUUGUUUGGGAGGUGACUCCAGGAAGUACUGGUAAGAGAGUAGGGAAGUAAGACAGGGAGGGGAAGCAAAGCAUUCACCGUGUGUUGCCAUCGUGGACAACUAGACCACAGUCCCACUGGAGAGCCCUGGGGAACAGUAGGGAACAUGCCCCUAAAUUAUCCCAGUGCCCCAUCUUUGGUGAUGGCUGCUUCCAGGGACUCCACGGCUUGCUCUUCACGCAGGCUGAGUGCACUCUCAUGGCCAGAGUAAUGCCCUCCUGAAGGAUCAGGGUUGUGCCUGAUGAACUGCUUGGGUGGCAUGUGUGUGCUGAUGAGCCGUGUUGGUUGCAGGUGUGAGCGGAGGUGAUCUGGUCAGAAUGGCAACAGCACCCAUCCCACUACCCACAAGGUGAGCCUGACACCGUUACCAAGACUUCUGUCCUUCUGGAUUCAACAGGCUCAAGAGAUUGUCUGUGCCUCUUCUCCACUGUUUCAUUAGCUGAGAAAGGCUCUGGGGAGUCUAACAGCCAGGACAGACAAAGAGCAGUAAAACAAAUACUGAGGAACUCAAGAACCAUGUGAGGUUGACACCUGAGGUAUUACUUGGACUCUGUACUGCAAAGAACAUUUAUUCAUUCAACAAGCAUCUACUGAGUACCUCCGGUGUCCCAGGCACUGUGCUCGUGGCUGGGCUUACAGCUGUGACUUCAUAGAGGUUAGAUUUGAGUGUGUGCGUGUACACCUGGCAUAGGUAAACAAGCAAGUCAUUAAGAUAAUUUCAGAGUGAUAAAGAUGGUGAAGAAAAUGAGCAGGACGAAGUGAAACGGAGGAGUGGGGUGGGGGCAACUCCAGGAUGUGCGGUUGGGAAAGGCCUCUCUGAGGAGAUGAGGGGACAAGAAAGAAGCAGCCCUGUGAGGCCCCAGGAUGAGAACUUUCCACAGAGCGAGCAGCAAGUGCAAAGGCCCUGGGCUGCAUGGGAGCUCAGAGAAUCAGGAGGAUAGCAAGGAGGCUGCCAUGCUGGAGGAGAAUGAGGGAAGAGAGUGCAGAGGCCAGUUUGGAGAGGCUGAAUAAAGCCUGAGUGUGCGUGGUGCAGUGUUCAAUUUUUAUUUUUGAGGAUUUAUUUAUGUAUUUACUUGAGACAGAGGUCUUGCUCUGCCACCAGGCUAGAGGGCAGUGGUACCAUCACGGCUCACUACCGCCUCGACCUCCCUGGGUGCAACUAAUCCUUCCACCUUAGCCUCCUGAGUAACUGAGAACACAGGUGCAUGCCAUCUUGCUCUGCCAAUUUUUGUAUUUUUUGUAGAGAUGGCUUUUUGCUAUGUUGCCCAGGCUGGUCUUGAACUCCUGAAGUCAAGCAAUCCGCCCACCUUGGCCUCCCACCAUGCUGGGAUUACAGGCGUGAGCCACCGCACCCGGUUUUUUGAGGACUUCAAACAGCAAACAACAUAGUUUCCGU
rnacentral:lncRNA from 10 species